AUUAAUAUAAAUCUAAUAAGGCAAUGGGUUUACCAAAAAAAUGAGAUAAUCAUAUAGUCCAGAAUAAAGUGAAAGAUAACAGAGACGGUGGAGGCAAUGCCAGUGCUGCAGAGGUCACAAAACAGUAGCCCGAUGUGAGAUCACAUCGCAGCUGAGCUGAAGUAGAUCAAUUCAUUUAUCAAAGAAGCCGAUUACAUCCUAACUUAUCGACUUGAACACAUGAACAUGGCUCUGUAACAGGGCCCAUCAAUUGGCAUAAACACAUCGAAAGACAACCAGAGGAGGAACUUUUGCUACAAAACUUGAAGAUUCUAGUAGAUGACAACUAGGUAGUAGAACUCCUCGCCAUCCCCACCAGUCAACGCCCUGCCUUGGCCUUCCAGCACACCCUGCUAGGUGUUCUUGACUUCUAAUCCGAUUACUUCUGGUUUGCUCCUCAACACUCGGCAACGUGAAGGCCAUCUGUGAGUUUAAUUCGCAUUCGGUUGUAGGUGCUCCGACAUUGACAGAAAAACAAGAGAAAACAAGUUAUUCAUAUGGCCUGGAAAAAAAACUCUGCAAUGAACACGAAGAGAAGGGGGGAAAUCGAACCUAGUGCUCGGAUAAGUUUCAAUUAAAUCGUACAAACUAAAUAAACAUCAAAUCAUCACAGUUCACAAUAUGGAGUAUAGUAGAUCGAACCUUAAUGGCACCUCACGCAGCAAUCAGUUAAAAAUUGAUCACAAUAUUAAAUGAGCAUUACCCAGUUCAUAAAUCCCACCAAGCCUGUCACUUGAGAAAUCGUAAUCACAACCAUCAGAAAAUUGCAGGUCUCAAACAACUAAUGCUUUGAAAAUUCUAAAUCUGAAAAUGCAGAAAAUAAACAUUAUAUAACCAUGACCUACCAAUUGACAUAAUAUAAAUCUACUAAGGCAGUGGAUUUUUCUCAAAUGUUGAGAUAAUCAUAUAGGCCAGAAUCACUAGCCAAGAAGCACCUAGGCACUGCAUCCCGACCCUCACGGCCACAUCGGCUGCAGAGGUAUGAAGGGCGGUUACUCGGGUUGAAACAGUUACUGAGGAAUAGGAAGGAGGAAUAAAGUGAAAGAUAACAGAGACGGUGGAGACAAUGCCAGUGCUGCAGAGGUCACAAAACAGUAGCCCGAUGUGAGUGCACAUCACAACUCAGCUUAAGUAGAUCAAUUUAUUUAUCAAAACAAGCCGAUUACAUCCUAACUAAUCGACUUGAACACAUGAACCGGACUCUGUAACAGCCUAACAGGGCCCAUCAAUUGGCAUAAACACAUCGAAAGACAGCCAGAGGAGGAACUCUUGCUACAAAACUUGGAAGAUUCAGGUAUUUGACAACUAGGUAGAAGAACUCCUGGCCAUCCCCACCAGUCAGUGCCUCCUCUUCCCUGCCUUGGCCUUCCAGCACAUCCUGCUAGGUGUUCUUGACUUCUAAUCCGGUUACUUCUGGUUGCCUCCUCAACACUCAGCAACAUGAAGGCCAUCAGUGAGUUUAAUUCGGUUGUAUGUGCUCCGACAUUGACAGAAAAACAAGAGAAAGCAAGUUAUUCAUAUAGCCUGAAAAAAACUCUGCAAUGAACACGAAGAGAAGGGGAAAAGAUCGAACCUUCUUCAGGCGAUUUGGGACAUCACGACAGGAAGACCACGGGGAUUUGGUUGAUACGACUAGAUGACCGUCCAGUAGACCAGCUCCUCGACAGUGGGCUCCUUUUCACUCCCUUGCCGCUCCUCUGCGACAACUGCCGGAGCUGUCUCCUGGUCACGGAUGUUCUGCGCCUCCGUCACGACGAGGCAGCCGCGGUGGAAGGAAGAGGGAGAUGGGCCUCGCCGACGGCGCAGGGCGAGGCUGCGGUCCAGGAUCGCCGACGACCAACCAGCAGCCUCGGAGUCGUCGGCAAGAAGGAGAUCCGCGCAGCGAUCUCUCUUCUUCCCGGCGGGGUCGCGCAUCUGCGCCGGCUGGACGGGAUCCACGAAUGUCAGGCCAAAACAAGCCCCAGAACAUUCAGUUAUCGGACGGCCUAGGAAGGAGAUCAUCAAGACAAUGGACGGCUCGCAUCGCUCGCCGUUUUCACCUUAUUGUUGCUUUUCAUUUUCGUCCUGUGGCUUUCCAGCGUGUGCCAGCUGAGCUUAUAAAAGCCAGCCAUCCCUGUUGUAAACCUUAUGCUAUUCUGAUGAAUCAUUGAUCAAUACUCUAAAGCUAAUACAGCAUAUACUUUGAUUCCUUCCACCAAACACGUCUCUUCUAGAACUCUCCUUCCCCCAAAUCUCGAUCUAGUUUGUCCUAGGGCAUGACAAUUGGUAUCAGAUGCCAGGCUGCUCCUCGGCGUUGAGUUGAGCUGUGUAGGAGAAAUUUUUUCCCACCCUCCUCUCCCAAUUCCUACGGCGACCCGGCGGGCGGCGGGGUAGGGUGCUGGCGGCGGUAGACUUGUUCGGCGACAGCUCAGGGUCGGAACUGGUUGCCGGAACGCAUCGUUCCGGCGGUAAAAUCCCAGGUUCUCACUGAGUGGUGUUGUAGAAGGAGGCGAAUCUCGUCGGCGGCGGCAGGAGUUCAGAUCCGAUCGGGUUUCCAGUUCGCUGGUUGUAAAAUUCCUCUCGGCCACCUGGAAUCUCGAUGGGGCGUUCGAAGCCAAGCAUGGAUGACGGAGAUCUGGCGGAGUUGGUAGCCAUGAAAGGUGACGUGCUGCAAAACCGAGAAGAAACAGCGGAGCUCCGCGGCGACAUGGAGGAUUUCCGUAGGGAUGUGCACGCAAUCCACCUCAAGUAAGAUGCUAUGACCCAAGUCAUGACAGGGGUACAGGAUGCGGUCUCAGCUUUGAACACACAGCUGGCUACCAUGGCUGAUGUGCUCAAAUCCUUUUCUCCGCCUCGAAUUCCAUCCCCAGUACAGCCAGUUCCUCAACCUCGAGCUCCUCCCGAGGCACAACCAUCAGCAGGACAAGUACCAGAACAAGCGCAAACUCGACCAACUACAGAAGAAUUGCGCAAACGCCUUGCUGAGGAACAAGAGAAAACAAGACAAAUCUCGCUGCAGAUACCUCCCAACUUACCACCUAUCAGAAUUGCCAGCACCUUAGGCCCCCCAGGGUUUGUGGAUCACAACAGAAAGGAAGGGCAGUCAGGAAAUGUCACGCCCUCAGCAGCCUACCGGACAGCACACACUCCGGCCUUCCACAAUUUUCAGCCACCUGCUGUUCGUGCACACUGGGAAGACUACUACCGACAGUAUGAGCAAGAGAUGAGGACUCAGUUUCUGAAAUCUAUCACAAAAGGCCCUCGAUUGGAUUUCCCCACAUUCGAUGGUACCAAUCCUGUAGGCUGGAUCAGACAAAGUGAGAAGUUCUUCCAAAUGGCUGGCACUCCCACUGAUUACAAGGUUAACUUGGCACAAAUGCACAUCGUCGGCAAGGCUGAUGUGUGGUUGCGCAGGUCCAAUAUCCUGAAGAAGAAACCUAGUUGGGAUCAACUCUGCACUGAACUACUUCACAGGUUCUCUGCAUCCAGUUCUUAUGAUCUCACUGACAGAUUCAAUAACCUAAAACAGAACACCUCUACUGUAGCUGACUAUACUGAAUAGUUUGAAGAAAUCAUGGCUGAGGUACAGGAAGACAACCCACAAAUAUCUGAAAGUUGGUUUGUCAGGUGUUAUGUCAAUGGGUUGCGCUCCCAACUUAAGUACCAGUUCAGACCCCUCAGACCAGUCACACUCACAUAUGCCUAAUGGCUGGCAAUUGAUUUGGAACAAGGAGCACCAGCUAAAAAGCAAUUUCAGCAGUUCUCUACCUCAGCCAAACCAACUCCAGUGUUUUCCAAAAACACUACAGUAGGAACAGAGAAACCUACUGAUUUUAAAGCCCCUACCAUUACACAGAGAGCUAGAGAACCUGGGAAGUGUUGGAGAUGUGGGGACAACUAGUUCCAUGGGCACAAGUGCAAGCAAGCCCCUACAAUUAAUUUGCUUGUUGGUGAGGAAGCAGAAGAGCCACCCCCUGAUCAGGAAAUAUUAGAAGAAAUUGGUCCACCAGAUCAAGGAGCAGCUGAAGAGCAAUGUAUGAAAAUUUCAUUGCAGGCAAUGCAUGCAGAUAGUGUCAAUACACUGUCUAUUUCAGUCAAUAUUGGAGGCAAAACAGCUAUUGCAUUAGUUGACUCUGGGAGCAACUCUACCUUCAUGAGUUUGCAAUUUGCCCUCCAAACAUCCUGCACCAUUGUCAAGGAUAAAUCAAGGGCAGUAUCAGUUGCUCGAGGGGGUAAACUUUGGUCUGGCUCAUAUAUUCCAACUACAAAUUUCACAGUAGGAGAAACACAAUUCACUCAACAGUUCAGAAUUCUGGAUUUACCUGGACAUCAUAUUGUGUUGGGAUGUGAUUGGAUGGCACAACACAGCCCAAUAGCCUUCUCCUAUGACCCAAGGGAACUAAUUAUUAAGCACAACAAAACAACAACAAUGACCAUCCCUGCUUGUGAGCCAAUUACUAAUGCAGCUGAAAUAGAUUGUGUGGAACUUAACAGACUGCUUUUAAGUGGGGCUCCUGGAUAUGUGUUGCAGUUAGCAUAAGAUACAUCACUCAGUUGCAAACAAAUCAAACCUGUAGAACCAGCCUUUGAGACAGUUUUGCAAGAAUUCCCUGAAGUUUUCCAGGAACCUGUGGCUCUUCCCCCAAAGAGAGACUGUGAUCACAAGAUUCCCCUUAAACCAAACUCCGCUCCUCCAAACUAUAAACCUUACAGAGUGCCCCACAUGCAGAAAAAUGAGAUGGAAAGGCAAAUUGACCAGUUGCUGCAAUCCAAAAUAAUUAGAGAAAGUCAAAGCCCGUACUCCUCUCCUGCUAUAUUGGUCAUGAAGAAAGAUGGGACUUGGAGAUUGUGCAUUGAUUAUAGGAAAUUGAAUGCAGCCACUAUUAAGAACAAAUACCCAAUCCCUGUCAUAGAGGACCUCCUGGAUGAACUACAUGGAGCAAAGAUAUUUUCCAAACUGGACUUAAGGUCAGGAUACCAUCAAGUGAGAAUGGAUGAGCAAGACAUACCAAAAACUGCCUUCAAAACUUACUUUGGACAUUAUGAGUUUUUGGUUAUGCCAUUUGGACUGAGCAAUGCACCAGGCACUUUCCAAGCAUUGAUGAACAACAUAUUUGGUCCAUAUUUGAGAAAGUUCAUCUUGGUUUUCUUUGAUGACAUAUUAAUCUUCAGCAGAACACCUAAGGAGCAUGUUGAACAUUUGAGAAUUGUCCUCCAACUCCUAAAAGAACAUAAACUAGUAGCAAAACUCAGCAAGUGUGUUUUUGCUGUUCCCCAAGUGGACUAUCUUGGACAUAUUAUUUCUGGUGAGGGAGUACAGACAGAUCCUACCAAGAUUAGUGCAGUUGCUGACUGGCCAAUCCCUUCUACUCCCACCAAACUCAGAGGAUUCCUCGGGUUAUGUGGGUACUACAGAAGGUUUGUCCACAACUUUGGCACCAUUGCAAGGCCCCUACAUGACAUGCUCAAAAAGGAUAGUUUCCAAUGGACUUCUGCUCAAACCACUGCUUUCAAUCAACUAAAACAGGCCAUGAUUUCUGCUCCUGUCCUAGCCCUCCCAGACUUCUCUGCUCCUUUUGUCCUUGAAACUGAUGCUUCAGGCCUUGGCUUAGGAGCUGUCAUGAUGUAAAAAGGCAGGCCCUUAGCUUACUAUAGCUCUUCCCUGGGCCCUAAAAAUGCAGCCAUGUCAACAUAUGAAAAAGAAGCAUUGGCAAUCAUUGAAGCUUUGAAGAGGUGGAGGCAUUACUUCCUUGGGAAUGACCUGAUCAUCAGAACAGAUCACAGAAGCUUGUAGUUCAUGACUGAUCAGAAAUUGGCCAAUAGCAUAUAGCACAAACUCAUGUUGAAGCUGCUAGAAUUUAAUUUCCAACUGGAAUAUAAAAAAGGAAAGGACAAUCUAGUAGCAGAUGCCCUUUCAAGAAAACAUGCCUGCAUGGCCAUUUCCAUGGUCACCCCAACAUGGAUCUCAGCUGUAGAAGAGUCCUACAAGCAGGAUUCCCACUGCCAGCAGCUACUGGAACAAUUACUACUAUCUCCUGACCACACAUUCCACUAGAACCAACUGCAAGAUGGCAUUAUCAGACACAAGGGAAAAAUCUAUGUGGGCAAAGACCUGCCACUGAGGAACAGACUAAUGCAAGCCCUACACUCCUCUGCUGUGGGGGGACAUUCAGGAAUAAAUGCUUCUUAUAAUCGUUUGAAGCAAAUCUUCUAUUGGCCAGGCAUGAAAAAGGACAUGGACCAGUUUGUCACCAUUUGCCUAGUUUGUCAAAAGAACAAAGGGGAAACUUGCCCAUACCCUGGUUUUCUGGAUCCUUUACAUAUCCCAGAUAUGGUAUGGACACAUGUCAGCAUGGACUUUAUUGAAGGUCUGCCCAAGUCUGAAGGGAAAGAAGUCAUAUUCAUGGUGGUGGAUCGGCUCUCAAAAUUUGCACAUUUUAUUCCCUUGUCACAUCCUUACACAACACAAACUGUCGCAAGAGCAUUUGUGGAUAAUGUACUGAAGUUGCAUGGGCCACCGGUUGCUAUAGUUUCUGACCAUGACACCAUCUUCACCAGCAAGCUCUGGCAAGACAUCUUCUUAGCGAUGGGGAUUGACUUGCGAUACAGUUCUUCGUACCAUCUAUAGUCUGAUGGUCAAACAGAACGUGUUAACCAAUGUAUUGAGAAUUAUCUUCGCUGCAUGACUUCUACUGCACCAAAAAAAUGGAUCAAGCACCUUGCUAUGGCUGAAUAUUGGUACAACACCUCAUUUCAUUCCUCACUGAAGAAGACGCCGUUCCAAGCUCUGUACGGCUACCCUCCUCCAGAUAUCAACCCACCCUUGCCCUCCCUAAGUGCUACUACUGAAGCAGCAUCUUUUCUGUCUGAGAGAAAUUCCAUGUGGCAGCAAUUGAAAGCUAACCUGACAGCAGCCCAAGCUCGCACGAAAAAGUAUGCAGACAGAAAACGAUCAGAAAGAACCUUGGAAGUGGGCGACAUGGUCUACCUGAAGAUGCAACCAUACCGUCUCGAUGCCUUCGGUUUGCACACCCACAUCAAGCUGCAGAGCAAGUUCUACGGUCCAUUUCGCAUCAUCAAACGAGUGGGCAACGUAGCCUACAAACUCCUUCUUCCAAGCUCCUCCACCAUCCACCCGGUGUUUCAUGUAAGUCAGCUUAAGAAGCACAUUGGGCCACAAGCUAUUCCAUGCGCUGAUCUACCUCUGGUUAGUCAAGACGGCACGAUCCGUACCGAGCCAAUCCAUGUCCUGGAGACAAGACAAAUUCCCCGCAACAAUCUUCCCGUGGUUCAAUGGCUCGUCCAGUGGGAGAAUUUACCUCUCGAUGAUGCUUCCUGGGAAGACGCUGAUUUCAUCAAGAGCACAUUUUCGGCUUUCUUCAAGCAGACAGUGCAAGCUUGGUUCAGUAAGCAACCUCCUUGAGGACAAGUUCGAUUUCAGAGGGAGGCAUUAUCAGGCCACAACAAGCCCCAGAACAUUCAGUUAUCGGACGGCCUAGGAAGGAGAUCAUCAAGACAAUGGAUGGCUCGCAUCGCUCGCCGUUUUCACCUUAUUGUUGCUUUUCAUUUUCGUCCUGUCGCUUUCCAGCGUGUGCCAGCUGAGCUUAUAAAAGCCAGCCAUCCCUAUUGUAAACCUUAUGCUAUUCUAAUGAAUCAUUGAUCAAUACUCUAAAGCUAAUACAACAUAUACUUUGAUUCCUUCCACCAAACACGUCUCUUCUAGAACUCUCCUUCCCCCAAAUCUCGAUCUAGUUUGUCCUAGGGCAUGACAACAAAGGUGAAAGAUCCGUUCAUGACGAGCAUGGCGCUCGCGCCCUGCAGCGGGAUCUCGACGGAGGACAUAGCGGCGGCUGUGGAAAUCGAUCGAAAACCUAAAUCUGGCUUGGAGCAGCGAGAGCGCGGGAG
rnacentral:lncRNA from 1 species